AGUGAGGGCAGCCUAACAAGAUCUUGAUGGUGCUGCCGUAUGAGAUGGGGCAAUCAUCGUUCCACUUUUCACGUCUCUGUGUGACCAGAGGGUAAACAUCUUGAACUUCAGAGUCUGCAUACCACCUAAUCCCGAGGGAGUCCCCAGGGCCUGUCUGCAUUGAGCUGAAACCUCAGUUCUUAAGCAUCAGGAUCUGCCAGAUUUACAGCCUUCAAAGAGUAGCUUAGCAUCCAAAAUAGUGUAAAGCCUGUGCUGACCUGGCAGGACAGAAGCAGCAACAAGGGAGCUGAAAGCUUUAUUUAAGGAAGAAUGAGCUACGUCUGAAAAACAGUCAGAAGAUAAAAGAAGCUGAAGAAGUAAAUUGGGUGUGUAACGAGCAUUAACAAUUGUUAUAAAAG
rnacentral:lncRNA from 1 species